GACCUGAUGGUGUAGUGGUAACAUGCCUGCUCAAGUUCUCUGAUCGUUGUAGUAGACAUAUAUGCAGGAGGUCCCUCGUUCGAAUCGGGGUCAGGUCA